UUAUUAUGAGAGUUUGAUCCUGGCUCAGGACGAACGCUGGCGGCGUGCCUAAUACAUGCAAGUCGAACGCUUCUUUCCUCCCGAGUGCUUGCACUCAAUUGGAAAGAGGAGUGGCGGACGGGUGAGUAACACGUGGGUAACCUACCCAUCAGAGGGGGAUAACACUUGGAAACAGGUGCUAAUACC
rnacentral:rRNA from 1 species